rnacentral:lncRNA from 1 species
GGCAGACCAUUCCCACCCUGCCUCUUCUUGCCCUUCUUGAUAGCCAAGUCCAUCACCAGCAGUUUAUGCUGGGUCAUAAGAUUUUCACUCGGGUUCACCUUACAAUCCUUACACAAAACUCUAUCCCUCUUCCUAAGCAGCAAAAAGUCAAUCUGAGUCUUGGCUAACCUACUACGGAAAGUAACAAGAUUCUCCUACUUCUUUGGAAAACUAGAAUUCACUACCACAAAUCGAAAGGC